rnacentral:rRNA from 1 species
UACGUAGGUGGCAAGCGUUGUCCGGAUUUAUUGGGUUUAAAGGGUGCGUAGGCGGCCCUGUAAGUCAGUGCUGAAAUAUCCCGGCUUAACCGGGAGGGUGGCAUUGAUACUGCAGGGCUUGAGUAAAGUUGAGGUUGGCGGAAUUGACGGUGUAGCGGUGGAAAUGCUUAGAUAUCGUCAAGAACACCUAUUGCGUAGGCAGCUAACUAGCUAACUGACGCUGAGGCACGAAAGUGUGGGGAUCAAACAGG